ensembl:lncRNA
GGGGGGGUUGUCUUGUGCAGGAAAACAGUUUAAGAUCAUAGAGGAGGAUAAAGACACUUCACCGAAUGACUACCCCACUCUCCAUUCCCACAGUUCUCCUCCCCUGCGGGCAAGAUUUUUUUUUAACAAAACAAAAGAACAACUGCUGAAUAAAACAUUGCGUUGUACAGGGAGGAGAGCAGGAACUUUGGGACUGCAGGCGCUUCAUUAGGGUGACACGCCUCACCCCUAUCCUCCACCAUUUCUAUGGAACAAUACGAGAAUAAAAGAUAAUAAUGACCAUAAUAAUAGUCAUGAUAUUUUAUUACUCUAGCGAGAAUGUUUCUCUGCUUUUACACAAACUGUGAAGAUUGACUGUGGAAGAUCUACCUGAGACCAUAACCUUAACCAGCGGGGUUUUUAAAAAAAAAAACAUGUAUUGUAAAAAAGAGAAAAUAAGAAAAUGAAAAAUUCCGUUCAUUGUUGGUUAUGACAAACGUUUUUGAGGACUUGUGUCUUGUUUCUUAUUUUAUUUAUUUUCAUUUUUUUCUGUUAAAGAUGACUUAACUUCCUUUUACUUCUUGUUGUCUCCCUUUGCAUUUGCUGAAAUAUCAAAGCUGGUGGAAGCAAAAGAAGCAAACCAAUUUGGAAAGAAGCGGGAUGUCACUAUUUGAUGGCACGGCUCCUCAGUGUGUCAACGUUACCAGCGGGAAAGCUGCCACCUUUUGGCACCAACUUUCCCCUUUAUUGGAGUGAAUCGGGCUGCCUGUCGAUGGCUUUCCUCUCCUUUCCGUUCUGAUCAGAAAUCACAAACCAAGCUGAAGCAAAGCACUCGCAGGCUCUGGUUAUUUACCAUCGGUGAAGCUGACUGCAUGCAGGUGACAAAAUGAAGACGUUUGCCAGCACUGAAAGCCACCCCCACCCCCAACUUCAUUCUUGGAAAGACCCCGGGAAAUAAUGAAAUUUGAUGCUGUAAUAUCAAGGUUGUUGAGAAGGCUGUGUUUCAGUGAUGUUAUUUAUCUUGUUCUGUGCCAACACCCUGUAAUGAUGACCUGUCACUCUUCUCUGUUUUGUGCUCUAUAUUUAUAUAUGAUCAGGCUUCUUUUACUUUUUUUCCUCCACUGUAUUUCUUUGGAUUUAUCAUCCUUUUUUUUUUUGUGCCAUACCUGCAACUAAUGAAAAAAUAAAGACAAGGAAUAUUUUAUGUGCUUUGU